GACGAACGCUGGCGGCGUGCCUAAUACAUGCAAGUCGAACGAGAGCGACCGGUGCUUGCACUGGUCAAUCUAGUGGCGAACGGGUGAGUAACACGUGGGUAACCUGCCCAUCAGAGGGGGAUAACAUCCGGAAACGGAUGCUAAAACCGCAUAGGUCUUCGAACCGCAUGGUUUGAAGAGGAAAAGAGGCGCAAGCUUCUGCUGAUGGAUGUACCCGCGGUGCAUUAGCUAGUUGGUGAGGUAACGGCUCACCAAGGCCGUGAUGCAUAGCCGACCUGAGGGGGUGAUCGGCCACAUUGGGACGGAGACACGGCCCAAACUCCUACGGGAGGCAGCAGUAGGGAAUCUUCCGCAAUGGACGCAAGACUGACGGAGCAACGCCGCGUGAGUGAAGAAGGUUUUCGGAUCGUAAAACUCUGUUGUUAGAGAAGAACAAGUGCUAGAGUAACUGUUAGCGCCUUGACGGUAUCUAACCAGAAAGCCACGGCUAACUACGUG
rnacentral:rRNA from 1 species